GAAGUUUUAAGCUAACGUUGACAAGAAACAUGUUUUGUAAAGGGAAGAGCGAUUUUCAAAAUUUUCCAUAUUCUACAGACUUACUAUGCCUUUUAAAAUACGUUAGACACAAAAUGGAGGUUAAGAGAGUCAAGAAUGUCCGAGAGGGUCAAAAAUCGGAGUAAUGGAAGAUUUUCCCCUGUUGAUCUCCCGUACGAUCGCACGGGCUACUACCCACGCGGUCGCGUAAGUGAUCCAUAUUGGACCGGGAACCUUUGGUCCCUUCCAGCAAUCGCAAAGUUGUGAUGCUUGGGAUAAUUUAACCCUCAACCGACCACUUAAACCCAUUAUCCAAAACCUCCCCAAUUUGAAACCCUAGGGAAUAUCUUUCCCAGAUACUCAAUUUCUUCCCAAAUGUUUCCUUCAAUUUGUCCAAAUUUGGCGAGGGACAUUAAUAUUCGUAUCGUUCAUGCUUCAAUUCACAAUGAAUCACCAUUGUGAAACAUAUAUCUUCAAGAAUAUCAAGGUAUGUUGGCUUCCCAUGAAAAAGUCCAAAAUUCUUGUUCAUUUUUUCAAAAUGGGUUGAUGGGCAUGUUGCACAUAUAGGACAGGGUUGAUGUUGUGUUGAAGCUGUGGUUUGGUUGUGAAUUGGAAGCAAUUAUAGGCUAUAAAGAUACUAUGUUAUUCACAUUUCAUGCAUCAUAGGCGUUUUUUGAAAUGCUUAAGUAGGAAUUUUGGUCGAUUUUUUUUGUAAAAGAUUUACAUGAAACAUGUUAAAAAUUAAUAACCUCAGGUCAUUGCUUUCGAAAGUGCAUUAGUUUUGCAUGAAAUUGGGGAAGGGGACGGAGGUUCAGCCUACUUCCCCACGUUUCUCAGUUCAUACCGAAAUAGCAUCUCCCUUCGUCCUAGUACGAGUCCGUGUAUUCAUACUUGCAUUCCCAGCCUUGUCCCCCACGUUCUUGCAUUGCAUUGCACACAUCCUUCUCCGUUACCCCUUGAGAUGCACUAUAAAUAAAUCAUAUAUUUUCCGCUAUCGCUAUAACUAUGACUAAUGAGCUUAUUUUUCCUAUUUGAUAUGAUGCCACUAAGAGGAGCAUAAAAGGAACGGGGAAAGGUGGCCUCCUCAUCAACCACAGCACUGACUCAUGUCGAUAAAGUGAGAUGAGGAUAUUCUUUACUCUAGAGCAUUGAGCUCAAUUCAAGUAGGUCAUAUGCUGAUAGGCUGUCUUGCCUGAGCGACAAGUAAUUAUAGGAGAUUUUGAGGGCAAGACAUUUAAACGUUGAUAUAGAGAUCCAGUUGGCAGAAGGUCAUCGACAGAUCUCAUCCCAUAGACAAGACUUUAAUUCAGGAGUUAUAUAUAGAUUUCAACAGGGAUAUUGAUGAGCCAGGCUCUAAACAUGCAUACCAGACAUGGGUCAGAGAUAAAUGGAUCAUGCUCACGCCUGAGGUAAUAGAUCAUUUUAUGGGAUGAUUAGGGACAAUAUUAUGCAUUACUCUUGGUAGACAACUAGCUUGAGAUAGCACAAGUAUUAUAUGGACAAGGCAUGCCCAUUAUGUACAACCGAAUGGCAUUCUAAUGAACAGACCAAGUCUAUUGCCUCCAUAUUGAUCCCACCUCUCAUCGGAACACUUUCAACAAUGCAAAGGCGAGGUUUCUAAUUUGGUUCGAGAGAUGAAGGUUGACUUGGGGCACAUAUAUUUACAAUCUAAUCUUGGGGUUAGUGAUAUUGGCGGACCGUCAUCACACAUUUAUCUUCUCAAGCCUCAUUAGUAGAAUCUGCAAAGUAUCAGGUGUGAGACUCUUACCAGGGACCACCUACAACUGAGAGCCCUCUGAUUGAUCAUAAGACUAGAGAGGCGUUGGCAUUAUCUAGGCAAGAAUACAGAAAGCGUGAGCAAUAACGACAACAACAGCAGGCUGUAGAUGGCCAAGGGGCUGAGAAUGUUGACAUGCCUCUUGUUUCACCACCUGAGCCUUUUGUUAACACAUAGUUGUUUCGCUAGUUGUUAAAAACCUCGACAGAUACUAGUUGGGUUAUUCAGGCUAUGUAACAUGCAUUUAUAGACAUGGAGUUGGGUGUAUGGACUACGCGUACUGAUAUUUAGGUGACUCGACAUGAUAUGGUCUAGACUCAGGAGGAUGUGGCCAGAUAUUUUAAGGAGAUUGAUCUUCUUAUUGAACGGGCAAAUUGUUAUGUGGCACGGGUUGACGAAAUACAGCUACAGGUAGACGAGACAUAUGAUAUAGUUCUUGGCAUGCAAGUCAAGAUGGGAACAAUAGUCUCCUAUGAUUAGGGAGAUAUUCUCGCACGUCUAUCUCCACCAUCAGCUUCAGAUCCAUUUGGCUCCACGACUUUUCUACCGUUUCCACCACCACCAGUUCUCAUUAUCCCUCUUCACUCUUGAUUACGCAUUUUAUUUUCUUCCUCUUGUACAUUGAGGGUAAUGCACAUGUUAAGUUUGGGAGUGGCUGAAUAUUCUGACUUAUCAUCGAUUGUAUAUGGUUUACUGCUUUAGCGUGAUUGUCAAGUGUAAGAAAAAUUCGAAAAUAGAAGAAAAUCACAAAAAUAUUUUCUUUUAGGCUUUUUAUUACUUUUGUGCGUUUUUGUGGGCUAGAUGACCUUGCCGAUAAUGAUGUAUAUAUUGGAAUUAUGUGUUAGACAUAAGAAUUAUGGAAAUAUUACAUUUUGAGUUGAUAUAUGCUUGUUUAAUUGAAACUUAAUCUUCAUUGCAC
rnacentral:lncRNA from 1 species